rnacentral:rRNA from 1 species
AUUGAACGCUGGCGGCAUGCUUUACACAUGCAAGUCGAACGGUAACAGGCCUUCGGGUGCUGACGAGUGGCGAACGGGUGAGUAAUGCAUCGGAACGUGCCCAAUCGUGGGGGAUAACGUAGCGAAAGUUACGCUAAUACCGCAUAAGCCCUGAGGGGGAAAGUGGGGGACCGCAAGGCCUCACGCGAAUGGAGCGGCCGAUGUCAGAUUAGCUAGUUGGUGGGGUAAAGGCCCACCAAGGCGACGAUCUGUAGCGGGUCUGAGAGGAUGAUCCGCCACACUGGGACUGAGACACGGCCCAGACUCCUACGGGAGGCAGCAGUGGGGAAUUUUGGACAAUGGGCGCAAGCCUGAUCCAGCCAUGCCGCGUGCGGGACGAAGGCCUCGGUUGUAAGGACACUUAAGUACGAGGAGGAAGGUUUUA